UUCCCAUUUUCUUGAAACUCCAUUAUUUUAUGUAUACACACAAAAUGUAUGUAUAUAUGCAACUACAAAUCUCUCUCUCUCUGUAUCUCUCUCUGAAGAAAGAGAUGAAAACAUACAGAUACGAAGAAGGAGAAAAUUAAAAGAAAAAAUUGGGAAGAAAGAAAAAAGACAACCUUGGCGGACUGGUGUUGAAAAUUCAAGCACUUGUAAUUGUUGUCCCGUGGUUGGUACGUUUUGGAUCUCAUUAAGGAAAGACACUGCGUAUGUUUGCAGGUUAUCACGUGAGCUCGUGGGUUUAUCCAAUGCGCAUCAAAAAUAGCGACCGCGCUACCCACGUUAAAAAAAAAAAAAAAAAAAAAAGGCAUCCAACUUAUAAAACCUGUCAAGCACUCGCAAUUAUGAACCUGAGUUAACCGCAGCGAAGGCAAGUGUCGGUGGACGGGGGAUGAAAAUAGAACUGGAGUGGUUUACCGUCAACCACGUGGAAUGCAUUACUCUUGAAAAAUACAUUCAAACAAUGUUGAGUACCGUAUGUUUUAUGGCUUAAAUAUUCAAAUUUUAAAUUAUUUUCAAUUUUGAAUUAAAACAUUUAUUUACAGGGUUAAUUAUCAAGUUGAUCACUGAAGUGGUCUUGAUGUAUCAAGUUGGUCACUGAACUCAA